UAGCAUAUCAAUAAGCGGAGGAAAAGAAACCAACAGGGAUUGCCCCAGUAACGGCGAGUGAAGCGGCAACAGCUCAAAUUUGAAAUCUGGCCCCCCAGGGUCCGAGUUGUAAUUUGCAGAGGAUGAUUUUGGCGAGGUGCCUUCCGAGUUCCCUGGAACGGGACGCCACAGAGGGUGAGAGCCCCGUCUGGUUGGACGCCGAGCCUAUGUAAAUCUCCUUCGACGAGUCGAGUAGUUUGGGAAUGCUGCUCUAAAUGGGAGGUAUAUGUCUUCUAAAGCUAAAUAUUGGCCAGAGACCGAUAGCGCACAAGUAGAGUGAUCGAAAGAUGAAAAGCACUUUGAAAAGAGGGUUAAAUAGUACGUGAAAUUGUUGAAAGGGAAGCGCUCAUGACCAGACUUGGGCCCGGUGAAUCAUCCAGCGUUCUCGCUGGUGCACUUUGCCGGGCUCAGGCCAGCAUCAGUUUGCCCCGGGGGAUAAAGGCUUUGGGAAUGUGGCUCCUCCGGGAGUGUUAUAGCCCAUUGCACAAUAUCCUGGGGUGGACUGAGGUUCGCGCAUCUGCAAGGAUGCUGGCGUAAUGGUCAUCAGCGACCCGUCUUGAAACACGGACCAAGGAGUCGUCUUCGUAUGCGAGUGUUCGGGUGUAAAACCCCUACGCGUAAUGAAAGUGAACGCAGGUGAGAGCUUCGGCGCAUCAUCGACCGAUCCUGAUGUUCUCGGAUGGAUUUGAGUAAGAGCAUACGGGGCCGGACCCGAAAGAAGGUGAACUAUGCCUGUAUAGGGUGAAGCCAGAGGAAACUCUGGUGGAGGCUCGCAGCGGUUCUGACGUGCAAAUCGAUCGUCAAAUAUGGGCAUGGGGGGCGAAAGACUAAUCGAACCUUCUAGUAGCUGGUUUCCGCCGAUC
rnacentral:rRNA from 1 species